rnacentral:rRNA from 1 species
UACAGAGGUCUCAAGCGUUUGUUCGGAUUCAUUGGGCGUAAAGGGCGCGUAGGCGGCCACCGCAAGUCAGUUGUGAAAGCUCUGGGCUUAACCCAGAAAGGUCAGCUGAUACUGCGGGGGCUAGAGUGCAGAAGGGGGCAACUGGAAUUCUCGGUGUAGCGGUGAAAUGCGUAGAUAUCGAGAGGGAAACACCUGCGGCGAAAGGCGGGGUUGCUGGGGCUGACACUGA